rnacentral:lncRNA from 1 species
CCCAGCAAGCAAGCAAGAGCGCGUCAGAAACCACCAAGGAGCCGGUCAGUUCUGUUCCCAAGAAGCAAAAGGACCUCCACAACCCCGACUGCUGCUGCUGUCGUCCGUGACCAUGGACAAGAUCCUGGCCUUCUCCAUCCUGAGCUCAUCGCCGGCGGACAUCUCCGCGGCCGGGUUCUUCUCCACGCGGCUAUCGUGGCGGACCUCCGCCGCCGGGAAGCCUCAGACGCCUCAGGUGGACCCGGCACCGCAAAAUCAGAAGGCCGCCGAGCAGCAGCGGGGCUCGCCGCGGGUCCCGGCGGCGGAGCGCGAGCGAGAGGCGCGGCCGCGGUUCGCGCCGGAGUUCGACGGGCUCAACUGCUUCGAGUCCAUCGUCUCCUUCUGAAUUCCGGGGGGCUCCGCGUGACAUGGUUCCCCUCCCCGCUUGAAUUCGUUCGUUCCUCUCUUCUAAUUAAUUUUGGGAUGUUUGCU